rnacentral:rRNA from 1 species
UACGUAGGGUGCAAGCGUUAAUCGGAAUUACUGGGCGUAAAGCGUGCGCAGGCGGUGAUGUAAGACAGGUGUGAAAUCCCCGGGCUUAACCUGGGAACUGCAUUUGUGACUGCAUCGCUGGAGUGCGGCAGAGGGGGAUGGAAUUCCGCGUGUAGCAGUGAAAUGCGUAGAUAUGCGGAGGAACACCGAUGGCGAAGGCAAUCCCCUGGGCCUGCACUGGACGCUCAUGCACGAAAGCGUGGGGAGCAACAGG